CAGAUGGUAGAGCUCUGAGACAGAGCCCUCUUGACCCACCUGUUAUUGGACUUCGAUGUCAGCAAGAAACAAAUGUUUGCAAUAACAUUAAGCCACUGAUGUGUCAAGGUUUGUCUGAGAUCACCUGAUACCUCCAAGCAAGCAGGUGUUCUUUUCAGAAGCCAGAAGCUGAUAACCUUGGCUUUCUGAUCUAACCCCAGCC
rnacentral:lncRNA from 1 species